rnacentral:rRNA from 1 species
UGGGAAUAUUGCACAAUGGGGGGAAACCCUGAUGCAGCAACGCCGCGUGAGUGAUGAAGGUCUUCGGAUCGUAAAGCUCUGUCUUCAGGGACGAUAAUGACGGUACCUGAGGAGGAAGCCACGGCUAACUACGUGCCAGCAGCCGCGGUAAUACGUAGGUGGCGAGCGUUGUCCGGAUUUACUGGGCGUAAAGGGAGCGUAGGCGGACUUUUAAGUGAGAUGUGAAAUACCCAGGCUCAACCUGGGGGCUGCAUUUCAAACUGGAAGUCUAGAGUGCAGGAGAGGAGAGUGGAAUUCCUAGUGUAGCGGUGAAAUGCGUAGAGAUUAGGAAGAACACCAGUGGCGAAGGCGACUCUCUGGACUGUAACUGACGCUGAGGCUCGAAAGCGUGGGGAGCAAACAGGAUUAGAUACCCUGGUAGU